rnacentral:misc_RNA from 1 species
GUGAAUCAUCGAAUCUUUGAACGCAAAUUGCACUCUCUGGUAUUCCGGAGAGUAUGCCUGUUUGAGGGUCAGUUUAAAUACAAAUCGGUGUGGUUGCUGCCUUUCCUGGUCACGCACUGGAUGUGGGGCUUCUUGCCUUCGGUUAAGUGACCUAAAACUCCGCAUGAUUGUUUUCGAACGUUUUCUAAUGAUU